UUGCAUGAGCAGCCCCUCCUUUUGAGCUCUGUGGACUGGGGAUAAAAGAGGCCCAGGGCAGCCCAGCCCCGGUUCUGAGGUCUAGGAAGGGUGUGUGUCACGAUGGCCUGGAUCCCUGUCCUUGUCGUGCUCCUCUGCCACUGCACAGGUUCCCUGUCCCAGCCUGUCGUGACUCAGCCAGCCUCCCUCUCUGCAUCUCUGGGAACAACAGCCAGACUCACCUGCACUCUGAGCAGGGACAUCAAUGUUGGAAGCUAUAGCAUACACUGGUACCAACAGAAUCCAGGGAGCCCUCCUCGGUAUCUCCUGUACUACUACUCAGAUUCCAGUACACAGUUGGGACCUGGGGUCCCCACCCGCUUCUCUGGAUCCAAAGAUGCCUCGGCCAAUGCAGGGCUUCUGCUCAUCUCUGGGCUGCAGCCUGAGGACGAGGCUGACUAUUACUGUGCAAUCGGGCACAGUAGUGCUGGUCACAGUGACACAGACACAUGGGGAAGUGGGACAAAUACCCAGCCUGCUUAGACCACUGUAGUCUGAGUCUCCGAAGUCUAAUGUAAAUUGAAUGCACAGUUACUAUACUUGGGUGUAGCUACUGGAUCUGAAUGUUCUUCUUCCCAGUUUCCUAUCAAACCUGUGUGAACUCUAUGAAAAAAAGAAAAAAAAGAAAGAAAAAUGACAACAACAAUAAACCAAAUCAAAGACAA